rnacentral:lncRNA from 1 species
UGGGUGAAUCAAGCUUACCCUAGUUUCAAACUCUCGUCUCCAAACCGACGGUUCAUCUCCCUAAAAAUUCUUGUCUUUCCUCUAAAAUUCUUUCCAUUCUACCUCUCAUUAGGUCUGCUAAGCUGUUUGCAAGUCUCUAUUGUCUGAAAUGGCUCCCAAACUAAAGCUACCGGAGAGAAGAAAGUCUGUAUGUGGGUUAGAGGAGAAUGUACGCAGAAAAAGAAUGGCAGCCGAGCCC